rnacentral:tRNA from 1 species
GAAGGUAUAGCUCAGUGGCAGAGCCUGUGCUUAGCAUGCAUGAGGUCCUGGGUUCAAUCCCCAGUCCCUCCA